rnacentral:tRNA from 1 species
GGAGGGGUGCCCGAGUGGCUAAAGGGGGCAGACUGUAAAUCUGCUGGCGAACGCCUACAUUGGUUCGAAUCCAAUCCCCUCCA